GGACGAACGCUGGCGGCGUGCUUAACACAUGCAAGUCGAACGAUGAACCUCCUUCGGGAGGGGAUUAGUGGCGAACGGGUGAGUAACACGUGGGCAAUCUGCCCUUCACUCUGGGACAAGCCCUGGAAACGGGGUCUAAUACCGGAUACGACACGGGAUCGCAUGAUCUCCGUGUGGAAAGCUCCGGCGGUGAAGGAUGAGCCCGCGGCCUAUCAGCUUGUUGGUGAGGUAACGGCUCACCAAGGCGACGACGGGUAGCCGGCCUGAGAGGGCGACCGGCCACACUGGGACUGAGACACGGCCCAGACUCCUACGGGAGGCAGCAGUGGGGAAUAUUGCACAAUGGGCGCAAGCCUGAUGCAGCGACGCCGCGUGAGGGAUGACGGCCUUCGGGUUGUAAACCUCUUUCAGCAGGGAAGAAGCGCAAGUGACGGUACCUGCAGAAGAAGCGCCGGCUAACUAC
rnacentral:rRNA from 1 species